CCUCUUACGAAGAAAAAAAUUAGGAAAUAAUUUAUAAGCAUUGUAAAAGAAAAAAAAAGAAGAUUUGGAAUCUUGAUCAAAAUCAAUGGCGAUAGAACAGGUCGAUGGUGUUUCGAGAGGAGGUAUUAUAGGUGGGAACGAUCGUCAGAAGAGCGUAGAAUUUUAUAAGGGGGUCAUCAUACGAGGCCAGCUCCGGUCUGGUUGAAAGCAUCGAGCCAGGACAGUCUUUCUUCGGUCGUCGUCCGAUCUCGACUGAACAACUCUGAUACACAUCGUGCAAUAUUUAUGUUAUUAUUUAUCCUUUAAUAUUUAUCCUUAUCUGUAUCUAAUUUUUCGAUUCGUUAAUCGAUUAAUUCAUUUCUUUCUCUUAUAAAUCCAACGUUGGUGCAAGAAAACGAAUCGUUUCGUCAAAAGUUGUGAUUCAAGUUUCUGAUCUUGAUUUUUUUACAAGUGCAAUAAAUAAAUAAUUAAAUAAAUAAGAGGCAUAGUGCGGAUUAAGAAGACGUUACGAUAUCUAUCGUAUAAUUUGUCAAAUUUUGAUUAUUCAGAUCUAGCGGUUGGUCAAAACACCACUUGAUGCGUUGAGGAUGCAACGUGAUCUUUGCAACGGAGGGUUUGCAUGCGCCGUUGUGUGGGUGUCAUCGACCUGCCUUCUUCUUCUUCUUUCAUUGUCAUCAUCAGUUGGAGCGGAGUCAUCUGUUAAGGUCAUCACAGGCCGAUGUCCAUCAUUCGAUGAACAGAACGUAUGCCCAUCGAGGUCACCAACCUGUAAGGAAGAUUCCGAAUGUCAAUUGUCCGAAGAACGUUGCUGCAAAACAGCGUGCGGAUUAAGAUGCGUUAACAGCGAGUUAUCUGGAUGCGAACAGUUGGCAUUGGCAGCUGUUAAAAGAUUCCGUGCUGUUAACAAGUGGACUGUUGCAUCGCAAUAUGUACCAAAAUGUAAUAACCAAACAGGGAAUUUCGAAAGGGUGCAGUGCGACUCGGAGAAGAAAUACUGUUGGUGCGUGGAUGAGAAGAUUGGUAGUGAAAUUCCUGGAACGAGAGGGUCUAAUAUUAAUGAUAUUAAUUGUGACAAUCCUCGAACAUGUCCGGCACAUUCCUGCCGAAUGUUUUGCCCACUUGGAUUCGAGAUCGAUUCAAAAAGUGGGUGUUCCAAGUGUGAAUGCAAAGAUCCUUGUCGCGGUAUAACGUGUCCAGGUCCGGGUCAGAUAUGUGAAUUAAUUGAUGUACCCUGUGCACGUCCACCGUGCCCACCCGUGCCAAGUUGUCGCAAAGCGAAAUCUCUGUUCAAUGUAUGUCCGGCAGGUGAACCCUUGCAAAUCACAGAUUCCUUGAGACCAUUCUUAUGUGGUAAUACACCAGGAAAACCAAGUUGUCCACCGAUGUACAGAUGUUUGGUUGAUCCAAAACAAGAAUAUGGUGUUUGUUGUCCAUCAAAUUUUAAUCUUACUCGAACUGGUACUUGUCCGAACAAGGAACCCACGAUUUGUAGUAGGACGUGUCAGCACGAUUUGGAAUGUCCGUCGCCACAAAAAUGUUGUCAGAGUGAACGCUGUGGUCGUACCUGUUUUGUACCCGAAGGUCUCAGCGUGUGUCGUCGCGAUCGCAUGCUGGCUGAAAUGUUAAGCAUUUCAGAAAAACAGGGUCGAGGUUACAUUCCGCAAUGUACUGAUGAAGGAGAAUUUCAAACUAAACAGUGUUCAAGGAAUGGUUUGGUCUGCUGGUGCGUUGAUGAUCAUGGUCGAAAAAUCUCAGGAUCUAUGGGACCAGCUGAAAGAGUAAAUUGCACCUCAAUUGCCAAAGCAAGAUCAUUAUCAACGUCUUGCAUUCAACAACAAUGCGCUCAAGUUUGUCAGUAUGGUUUUAAAACAGAUUCAUCCGGUUGUUCCACAUGCGAAUGCGAUAAUCCUUGCGAGGGAUUCCCGUGCCCACCUGAAGAAGAGUGUGUUCUCAAACAGGAAACAAAUUGUCCUGAUUUUCUUUGCCCUACUAAGCCGGAAUGUAAAGCCAAAAGAACUUACAAGAGUCCUUGCGUUUAUGGUACACCGAUGAGCGACGAAGAAGGUAAUGCCAUCACAUGUUCUAUCAAUCAGACUUGUCCGUACAAUUAUAUGUGUACAGCGGUACCGGAAGCUGGACAAUCGGUCUGUUGUGCGAUACCAUCGACAACUGUGAUCAAACCAGUAUCAAUGUGCGAAUAUCUUCGAGAUUUUGGUGAACGAAUGGAAGGUACGCGAGAAGGAAUGUCCUUGGCUGUUCCACCACCGCAAUGCGAUAAAAAUGGUUUUUACAAGCCCUUGCAGUGUCAUAACGGUACUUGUGCUUGUGUGAAUCGUCACGGAAUUAUUUUACGAGGUAACGUUAGUCCAGAAACCGAUUGCAAAAGCGUCAAGAAUUCUUGGCAAGUUUGCAAUACGAUAUCGUGCGACUUGGUAUGUCCUUACGGUUAUGAAAUCGAUUCGAAUGGUUGUGAAACAUGUAAUUGUCACGACCCAUGUAAAGACGUGUCAUGUGGCUCACGGGAAGUUUGCACAAUGGUUGAUGUCAAUUGUGGCCCGGGAGAAUAUUGUCCACCGGUGCCAGCUUGUCUUACAACCAAACCUGGACAAUGUCCAUACUUGGUACCAAGUUCGUCGAGCUGUGAAUUAGAAUGUAGUACCGAUCAGGAGUGUUCGAGUUCGGACAAAUGUUGUUCGACGGGUUGCGGUACGCAAUGCGUAGCACCAGUCAUGGCCACUGCUUGUCAACAUGCACAGGCUGUUGCCGAGCAUGCUGCUAGAGAGUCCGGUGAACCAGCUCGAAGAAUUUAUAUACCAAGAUGUGAUGUCAAUGGUGCAUUCGAAGCAGUACAAUGUCACAAUGGUAUGUGUUGGUGCGUUGAUGAGGAAGGAAGAGAAGCUGCAGGUACGCGUGUCCUUGAAGGGAUUGUACCGAAAUGUAAUAAACCUCAAAGGUGUCCAGAAAUAGAUUGCAAACUUAAUUGUCCGGAAGGUUUCGAGUUGGAUCUUGACAGUGGUUGUCCUACCUGUUCUUGUAGAGAUUCUUGUAAAAGAGUAACUUGUCGUGGGGAAAAUGAAGCUUGUAGAAUGGUCGAAGUUGCUUGCAGUGUACCACCCUGCCCACCUGUACCAGUUUGUUUACCGAAAAAAGAUAAUCCUUGUCCGAACGGUACACCCCUUUUGGAUCAAAACAGAUCACCGGCUAUCUGUGGUCCUCACGGACAUCAAUGUCCAUCCACACACAAGUGCGAGUUGUCUCCGUUAGACGAAUACGCUGUUUGUUGUCCCAAACCGCGAGAGGUUUGUUUCGAACCUUUACGAAUUGUGCCAUGCAAUUCAACGGCGAUGCCUAAUGAAACAGAAAGAUGGUACUUCGAUCCAGAAAAAAACGAAUGCAGAAUAAAAACCGAAUGUACUCACGGCCAUAACGAUUUCUCAAGUCGUUUGAUAUGUGACACAGUUUGUCCUGUUUUGUCACAAUGCGAAAGAUUACGAGAGAAAAAUUUGAAAACUUCUCAAAGAUUAAAACAAUCGACUUUCUUACCAAGAUGCAAUCAAGACACUGGUAUGUGGGAAUCUGUUCAAUGUUUGGAACACGUCGGUGUUUGCUGGUGUGUUAAUAGAAAAGGACAACCUAUGAAAGGAUCUCUUAUCAGAGGACUCGAACCAAAAUGCAAUUUCAGACAAGCCAGACGUGGUGGUAGAGGUCCUGGUAAUCAAGAAAUAGAUUACAAGAUUCAAGCAUUUAUGGAAGGCACUUUGUUGGAGUUGUUAGAGACUGAUGAAAAACAAGUUAAGAGAAUCUUUGGCACCAGAUGUCAAGCUAUGAGAGAAAGGGGUCAUGUUUCAGCUAUUUGUGAUCGUCAAGGUAAAUUUGAACCCACGCAAUGCGCUGGAGAUACUUGUUGGUGCGUUGACGAGGCUGGAAAUCAAUUGGUUGGUUCCGAACCAUUUUUGAAAGGAUCUAACAUUUGUUUACCAACACCGAUCGAGUCGGUAGAAGUGAUUUUACGUUUUCCUGGAAGAUUCGUAAUAACGGAUAAAGUUAAUUUCAAAAGCGAAGCAAAACAAUUCUUGUACGAGUUAGGCGCAAGAAUAAAGGACGAUAUUGAAGUGGAUCUCGAACGGGAUUCGGCAUUUUUGAAAUUUGAAAUAAUCGGUGCGAACAAGGUCGACAUAGCUUUUCAUUUGGAAGAAUUGACAAGGAUGCAGAAACUUUUAAUGCUUGGGUCAUUGGCCGAUGAAACGACUUCACGUUUCACACAUAAAUCUAUGCCAGUCGCUGUGGAAAACAGGAUCGUUGCGUUAGAGCAACGGGAGAUUCUAACGGAAGUUGAAGCACCCGUUUAUCAAACGGCCACUCUUGUUCUGGCAGCGGCCAGCGCUUUUGUUAUUAGCAGCUUGAUAAUACUUUUAAUGUUGUAUCGUAAAAAGAUGAAAAUGAAGGAUCCAAGCAAAACAUUGCCGAUGGAUCAGCAUUUCCUUGCCUACAGUCAACAACCAGUUUACGUGAUUUCUGGUCUGGAAAAAGAUGAGAAGGAUGCAGGACAAUUACAUGAAAAUGUUCAGCUUCCUGAAGCAGCUGAUAAAGCAUGAACGAUUUCAUAGAUAAAAUGUACACCAACGUAUAAACAAGACAACCAAUUUUUCGCAACAGGGAUACCAAUAUCAUAAUUUGCAAUAAUAAAAAACAAGAACUGAGAUCGUUCAAAUUUCGCGGUAUAAAAUUGAUAUCGAAUAUAGUCGAUCCAAUCGAUUAAAAAUAUCGAAAGUGAUGACGUAAGAGUAGUUUUCGAUAGAUCGAUUAAAACUAGUCAUCCCUAUAUAGUUUUUAAUGGUGAACCGUACGAGAGGAACGUCGACCAAUCGAGAGAUUCGAAAUUGGCGUUGAGGUGAUGAAGAAAAUAAAUUAUCUAUCUAAAAUAAAAAUCUUUAAUCAUUUGAAUAAAAAUUAACGUGUCCAAAUAUACAUUUAAUUAAUAAAAUAUCCUUCAUGUAAGAUGAUCGUAAGAUGUCGCUAUAUCAUUACACAGAGGUUACAACGUCCUACGUGGGAAUAGUGUGAAAUAAAGAAAGAAAAGAAGAUAGAAAGAUAGUAAGGCAAAAAGAGGUAGAUAGAAAAAUGAGAAUUGUGAUUAAUAUUAGAGACUAACGAGAAGAAGGAAACUUGUAAAAUCAACUAAAAGAAUAAGCUUUAAUGGCAGUCAGUUUAACGAACAUACUUGAAGGAGUUUUCAAAUCGCAUAUAUCAGAUUCAUUGGAUUACAAUUUUUUAACAAUUUUAUUGUCCUAUAAAAACAAUCGUAUAUUCGAAGAGGAUAAAAAGAAGAACAACAAUAACAAGGAGGAAAAA